rnacentral:rRNA from 1 species
UACGUAGGGGGCUAGCGUUGUCCGGAAUCAUUGGGCGUAAAGCGCGUGUAGGCGGUCCGGUAAGUCCGCUGUGAAAGUCGGGGGCUCAACCCUCGAAUGCCGGUGGAUACUGUCGGGCUAGAGUGCGGAAGAGGCGAGUGGAAUUCCUGGUGUAGCGGUGAAAUGCGCAGAUAUCAGGAAGAACACCGACGGCGAAGGCAGCUCGCUGGGACGGUACUGACGCUGGAGGCGCGAAAGCGUGGGGAGCGAACAGG